UGAAUACUUUAGUAGGUGCUCUGAGCUACUUCAGGGUAUGAAAGCCUCCAGGUGAGAGAGCUGGGAUGAUAUCUUCAAAGGACUUCUUCAGAACUGGGAACAUUCAAAGUUGCCUUGAAGAUAUUUUUAAGUCCACACUUUUUUGUAAGAGAGCUCUGCACAGGACAGGCAGCAGGAGCAGAGAAGAUGGGCUUUAGAGAGUGGCAGCAGCAAAAGAGCACUCAGCCAGGACUAUUGAUGGCAGUGAGCAUCAGCACUGAAGCAGCUGUGCCUCCUCCCUGUGCUUUGAAGGGAUCACAGCUACCCUGCAGCAAGACAGCAGUGUCUCAAAGCUCUAUGUUUGGUUCCAUAACCCAGGACCAUCACCUGCCCUAGCAGAUACGUAAGUCCCUUUGGACUCUCCUUUUAGUCUGCAGUUUCUUUAACUUGAUGGUGUUGAGGAGCCUCUGGAUCACAUUGUAAGGAUCCUUCACAACAGUCUGCUCUGGAAAAAAAAAAAAAAAUAAAAAAUCCUUUCCUCCUGCA
rnacentral:lncRNA from 1 species